UCGGAUCAGGUAGGGAUACCCGCUGAACUUAAGCAUAUCAAAGCGG
rnacentral:rRNA from 1 species